rnacentral:lncRNA from 10 species
AGAGAAAAUAAACUGGGUCGCCAGAAGAAUGAAUACUUUACUGCCUUCCUGCCAUCCCGCAGACCCCCAGCGUCACCCACCAUCCCAAAAGGCAUCUGCUGGAUGAUCAGUUCAAAUGAUACUUCAUGGAAACCAACCAAGUGCUCAGAGACAGAAAGAGAGAGAAGAGAUAACACCUGCAUAUCUACAAAGAUAAAGCAGAAACUGAGAACGGGACUUGAAGCUCAACCACAUACUUCCUCAAAUUCCAGGCCUCUGACCUUGAUAAUAAGACUAUUCUGCAGAAGCUGGCUGCACCAUUGUGCAGCUGAAAACACACACCUAGCCCAAGA